CAUUGUGAAUGCCGAUCUCCAGAGGGGCAUGGGGCAGAAUCCAGUAAUCAAACACAUCAGUAUUUUUGCAGCAAAAUGUGAGAGUGUUUAAGUGAGAGAAAUAAAGACUGCAUAUAGUUUCAUGUUGGUUCAGGUCAGACUUUGCUAACCUGCCAAUCUGCAAUUUUAAUAAGAAGUAUUUUGGUUUUUAGGCUCUGAAAAUUCAGAUUGUGGACCUGUGAUGCCUAUUUCAGAUGAUUUGGAGGACUCUACAAGAUGGCCCACAGCAAGUGGCUGGCAUAGCUCUACUACUUCGGAUGACAAGAGAAGACCAACCACAUCCAUUUAGUUCCACAGAUGGACAAAAACCUCAGAGGACUGGCUCUCCUCUAUAAGCAAGGAACAAACAUGCAGGAAUAUUGUAAAGACAGACGUCAAGACUUGGCCAUUGCUUCCAAUUAAGAAGCUAUUUCCAAACUCACCAACCAAACUCUUACGUGGUGGGAAUUCAGCAAAUGGAUGGAAAGAUGGAGAAAAUGGGGUGGCAAGAGUUGUGAAUCCUUAUGUUGAGUCAGAGCAGAUAAAGAGCACGUCCAUGGAAAAGGUACUUGAGGUAUUUGCCUCUGAGGUAACUGUCAUUAGCCAAGGUUUCACAUAAGCACUUUCUAAUAUUUGAGUUUUAAAAAUAGAACCUUUAUGAGAAUGCCUUUGACCCCGCAAUUCCCCUCUAGGAAUGCACUUCGCUAGAGUGCAAGGCUAUAGGUUCAGAAAUGACCUCGGAGGCAUUGCUUGGAAGGGUCAAAAUGGAAACAAUGUAAGGGCUCUGUGAAGGUUAGAAAAAUCAUGGUACAUUCAGGCAACAGGCAGUCCAUUUGGGCUCCGUGAUGUUUCCAGGACACUGAGCAACUCGGACACCUUGUUCAAAGGACUUAAACUCUAUAACAAUUUUCUUUGUAUGAUGCAGAAAUAUGAGAUCCUACUAACAUCCUUUAGAUAUUAGCAGGGAAAAGCCAUGAUGCUCUAGUCCCUUGUGUAAAUAGGUGUAUAUGCUUCCAAACUUCUCCUAGAGGUAAAAGAUCAGACUUUUACUCUCUUCCUGAUCAUAAAAGCAUCUUCUGUCCGAAUUAACUGACAUCUACUGAGCCCUUACCAGGAGUGCUGGGUGCUGGGACUAGAGAGAUGACUUCGCAUUCCUGGCCUCCAAAGGCAUAUAGAGACCCA
rnacentral:lncRNA from 12 species